rnacentral:rRNA from 1 species
CGCAUCUGUGCAUGCAGCAUAUCAAUAAGCGGAGGAAAAGAAACUAACAAGGAUUCCCCUAGUAACGGCGAGUGAAGCGGGAAGAGCUCAAAUUUGAAAUCUUAAAGGGUUUCCCUUUACGAAUUGUAGUUUAAAGAAGUGUUUUCUGUUGAGGUUUUGGUAAAAGUUCUUUGGAAUAGGACAUCAUAGAGGGUGAGAAUCCCGUAUUUGACCUUUACUUUCAACUUUGUGAUACACUUUCAAAGAGUCGGAUUGUUUGGGAAUGCAGUCCAAAAUGGGUGGUAAAUUUCAUCUAAAGCUAAAUAUUGGCGAGAGACCGAUAGCGAACAAGUACCGUGAGGGAAAGAUGAAAAGAACUUUGAAAAGAGAGUUAAACAGUACGUGAAAUUGUCAAAAGGGAAGCGUUUGACACCAGUGUUGUUUUUCUGAAAAUCAAUUAAAGAACUGUUUAUGCUAAGUUGUUUAGACUUUAUCAGCUAACUGUUUAGUUUUGAGCUUUUCUUUAAUGCACUUUUCAGGUAACAAGUCAACAUCAAUUUCUUUUGCUGUAAAAAAGCUUGAGGAAGGCGGCUUGAGAUUCGUCUUAAGUGUUUAUAGCCUCUUGCCUAUGCAGUCGGAGAGAUUGAGGUCUGCAGCGUAGAUCCUUCGGGGCUAAAUGCAUUUGUGCUAAGUUAUAGCAUUUUAUAGACAACUUGUUGACUAUGAUUUGUCUUGUAGCUUACUCGCUUAUGUUAUUUUACCUACGCUUAGGAUGUUGAACGCGCACAGAGUCUC